AGUGAACGCUGGCGGUAGGCCUAACACAUGCCAGUCGAACGGCAGCACAGUAAGAGCUUGCUCUUACGGGUGGCGAGUGGCGGAUGGGUGAGGAAUACAUCGGAAUCUACUUUUUCGUGGGGGAUAACGUAGGGAAACUUACGCUAAUACCGCAUACGACCUACGGGUGAAAGCAGGUGAUCUUCGGACCUUGCGCGAUUGAAUGAGCCGAUGUCGGAUUAGCUAGUUGGCGGGGUAAAGGCCCACCAAGGCGACGAUCCGUAGUUGGUCUGAUAGAAUGAACAGCAAGAAUGGAACUGAGACACGGUCCAGACUCAUAAGGGAGGCAGAAGUGGGGAAUAUUGGACAAUGGGCGCAAGACUGAUCAAGCCAUACCGCGUGGGUGAAGAAGGCCUUCGGGUUGUAAAGCACUUUUGUGGGGAAAGAAAAGCAGCAGGUUAAGACCACGCUGUUCUGACGGUACCCGAAGAAUAAGCACCGGCUAACUUCGUG
rnacentral:rRNA from 1 species